GGUCUUAGAGGCUGGGGACGUUGCUGAUGUGGCGAAGGCCUUCGCCUCUCAGUUUCGUUAUCUUGGGGUCUUCGCUGAGCGUCUAGCCUCGGAGGCACAAUCUAGUGCCGUCGUCUCUCGCCUGACUUCUGAAAAGAAGGCGUUGUCUCAUGAGCUAGAGCGCUCCCGUGCUGACUCUUCAGACCUGGCGCGAAGGCUUGAGGCGGCGGAGGCCGAGAGUCGCAGGUUGCUUGCGCUGUUGGCGGAGUCCAAUAAAGAGAGAGAAAGCCUUUGCCGGGAGGUAAGAGAAUUAAAGGCCUCAGAAGUAGAGACCUACUCAGAAGAGGGGCACAAGAGAGACCUUUUCUCCACGACAAAGGAGCUGGACGAUGCCCAAGAGCCAAAUGCGUCAGUCAAAGGGGGCCAUUCGCGAGGCGGCGGAGGCCCAGCCUAUCGACACCAAGGGUGAGGCAGAGGCGACCCUUUCGGUUAGGGAUGGCGAGGCCAGAGCCAUACUCUGGGGACAUGAACUGGGACGACAAGGGAGACGGCCUUUCCCUCUGCAGGACGGGUGGACCGAUGCUUGUGUUAAGCUGAAGCCUGGAGAAGAUGGCUGGAUCUAUGACACAAAGUCCAAUGGCAUGCUGUCAGGCAACCGCAAGCUGCAGAAGUGAUUGGACCGGUUUGUAUGCAAGCUGGCAGACUUGAAGGUCGACAGCAUUGAGAUGAUCGGGAAGGUCUCCUACAAGAAGAUACGGGAAGGGAGCCGAAAGAUUGAACUGCCUUUCCAAGCGGCCACUUUGGGCUUGUUUUGGUCAACACCCUGCAAGAGGAUGACAACUUCUGUAGAACUUUUACAGGACGUUCCAUGCACUUUUGUGUGUGGUUGCCCUUCUAUUUUGUAAGUUUGGUUGAGGCAUCGAGUUCGCUAGGACAUGCAAAUGGUGGUAUUAUUACCAGCUGGCUACUUGUUGAUACCUGGAACUUGUUUCUCAUCAAUGUCGCAUUCAGGUGCUUUGGGUUGGC